ACGACCCAUUUGAUCUCUGUGAGCCGAACCCAAAUGGGUUUCUCUCCAAAGCUCGAAAUCCUAAAUUUUACUUUUAGAGAGAAGCCCACACAGAAUUAAACAACCCCUUUGUCUCUUGCUUGACAAUGGUUUGUCGAAGUCCAUCUCAACAAGCCUGUUUCGUGCAGUUUAUAGGCCUCACAGUUGUUUGUUCCUCUGGGAGGACUCCGAAUUCUUUAUCACUGCCACAAAGAUGCAUGGAUCAUCAGGUUACUAUGUCUUUCUUAUUGUUUGAUUUCCUGUAUUUAUGCAUUUUUAUUUGAAUAUGAAGCCAUUGCAAAUAAUGAUAACAGUUUGUUCUCAA